GGAACACAGAGGUGUGAUUGACGAAAAAGAGUCCUUCCUAGGGGCUGCAGACAUGGCUCAGAGGUUAAGAAUACUUGCUGCUUUUGUUAAAGAUGUGUCUUUGGUUCCUAGGAUUACAUAGCAGCUUGCAUCUGUCUGUUAACUCCAGUUCCAGGAGAUCUGAUGCCCUCUUCUGACAUCCAGGGGUACUAGGCAUGCAUUGGUACACUUAUAUAUGUGUAUACUUAUACAUACACACAAAAUAAAAAUGAACGUCUGUACAACUUUUUUUUUCGUAUUUGACACUAAGUCAGAGGGGUGACUUUGCUGAUUUUAGUGAGUAGUGGGGGGAUGACAUUUUGGUUGCUGUGCUGUUCAAAGAAAGAAACAUAAAUCCCCUCCAAGACAUAGAGUUUCCUCACUGCUCCCUGGACUUCACUAAAGUCCUGACACACGUGAUCAAUAGCUAUGCUCUGAAAGUUAAACAGAUGAAGCCAGGGUGGCAGCUAUCAUUAAUAACUGACAUUUUGUUUCUGGGUUUCACAGCUAUCCCACAUAUAUCUUCCCAAUGGUGCUGCCAAGGAGGUGGGAAUUUCUACGUCUCAUAAAGAAAUUAAGUGAGACUUAGACACUGAAUGAACCACCAGAUGACAAACAGAACUGUGUGCAUUGAGGUAGGUCUUUUGUACCACUCCAGAUGGAUUUGCCCAAUGAAAUACUGGACAUCCAUUGAAAUUCGAUAAAUAAUGAAAACCUGACAAGUGUAACACACUCAGUCCAGCUUCAGGCUAAUGCUGACAUCUUGAUGGUCAGUCAGCACUGUAGGCUGACUUCUGCCUUCCAUUUGCCUGGAUCACUAAACAGUGUCACUGAGGUCAUCAAGAUUCAUUACACCAACUCCAGUCUCCAGGAGACUCUAUCGCCAAAGGAGUGUGGCUUUGAAAGGGCAUCCACAGAGCGAUGUGUCAAGAAUUAA
rnacentral:lncRNA from 1 species